rnacentral:misc_RNA from 1 species
CUCCAACGAAAAGAAUAAUAAAAGGUUAAUCCUUCCUCUUACGAAUUUUGUACGAAGCAGGAGUUAUCGACGACAACCCCAGACCAGGAAAUACGCUGUCAAGCUCUCUCUGGACAUUCGUGAUUCUCUUCUUCUUCUUCCUCCUUGGCAAUUUGGCCCCAAUUAUGGCCAAAAUAUCCUUUUCAAUCUCCUCUUUUGGAAGUGUAAUACCGAAACUUGGUGUCAUCUUCUUGUUCUUGUCCCUCUUAUCCACCUUUACUUGAUCAACUUCCCUUUCCACACCGCUGAUCUAUGGGGCCUCAGAUUCCAAUUAUUUGGUGAUGCUUUGCCAUCUACUUUUCUGCCAAUUAAGUUCUGAUCAUCCCCAGAAUCAAACUUGGUGUUGUUAGUAAAGGAAGGCAAAAUCUGCGACGAAGACGACUCAGUUUGAUAGGUGUUAGGGUGGUCGGUUACCCACUGAACUACGAAGGAGAAAUUCUGCUGCAGUGGCUGCUUUUCAGAGGAGGCUUCUGACAUCGUUCCUCACUGAUCUGAAUACUGAUUUGUGAAAUUAGAAAGAACAAGACAAUGAUGUAUAAAUAUAUUUACAAAGGUGAAUUCAUUAAUAAUCCUAUAUGAAGUAGAAUUCCUUAACCAAAUACAACUUGGAAAUUGAGUAAAAUAGUUUAAUAGUUAAAUUAUUUAAACUACUCGUUAAUGUCCUUGUUCAGGUUAGAAAGAAAAAACAGAGGUUACUAGGUUAGAAAGACUGCAAGGACGACUCUGGCUUGAAAUUUUCUACCACUUGUUCAGGUUGCCCAGCAACAUAGUCCAAGAGGCCUUCGCCGGCUUUGUCACCGGAAGAUUCGGUGCCAGGUAAAGAGGUCUUGCCGAAGAAGACGACAGCAACAAGAAAUAGAGCGGUGGAGAGAAACAAAGGCCAGAAAUAGGCCAAUAUCGUGACAAAACUUGGUGCUAAAAAGAUUAGAGUGACGAGUGCGAGAGAGAUGAUGAGGGAGAAAAAGAUAUGGUACUUGUACUGUAUGAUCUUUUCUUGGAUCUCCAUGGUAAAGAUACUGGAGAGUGGUUGCGGAGGAGGAGGUGGUUUUUGCAGAGAUACUGAGAGAGAGAAGAGGAUAUUGAUGUGGGAGUUAUCUGAAGGUGCAGAUAUUCUCUGAGGGGAAGUGUUGUGUUAUUUGGGUUAAGGGAACCCUAAUUUUUGGUCACUUUACUAAAUCUGUA